rnacentral:lncRNA from 1 species
CAAAGUAGACUCUUGAGACAGCCAGCUGCUAGAGACUGGAUCCCCUAUGAAAAGGGGCCAUUAUGUGCUGGAGAAUGACAAACUAUGGAAUCUAACGAAAAGAAGUGAACUAUGUGAAACAGGACUAGAGUGGAUUUGGGAACUGAGAUACAGAAGGUGAAGUUAGUGGUUCUGGGAGCUGAGCUACAUGACGAGGAGUCAUGGAGUCAGGCUUCUCAAGGGUUCUGGGAGAAGGAGGAGGGCAUAUGCUUCCUACACUACCCGCCCCAGCAUUAAAGCUUGAGACUUUAAUUAUAGAGAAGAAGAUGAUUUCGCAUCUGUCUGGAAAACAAGGUUGA